AAGGUAUUGGUUUAUAUCGCAACCCUAACAUUGGA
rnacentral:sRNA from 1 species